rnacentral:rRNA from 1 species
CCUACGGGAGGCAGCAGUGAGGAAUAUUGGUCAAUGGCCGGAAGGCUGAACCAGCCAAGCCGCGUGAAGGACGACGGUGCCAAGCAUUGUAAACUUCUUUUGUCAAGGGACAAAAUCAGGCUCGCGAGCCUGACCGAGGGUACUUUACGAAAAAGCAUCGGCUAACUCCGUGCCAGCAGCCGCGGUAAUACGGAGGAUGCGAGCGUUAUCCGGAUUUAUUGGGUUUAAGGGGUGCGUGGGCGGGCGGUUAAGUCAGCGGUAAAAGCCCGGGGCUCAACCCCGGCGUGCCGUUGUAACUGGUGGGCUGGGGAGGGCGAGAGGUAGGCGGAAUGCGCAGUGUAGCGGUGAAAUGCUUAGAUAUUGGGCAGAACUACGAUUGCGAAGGCAGCAUACCGG